UCGGCUGAGCGCGUACGUCACUUGUCUCUGCGCCAACGACGAUGACCGCGAGCAGACCGCGAGUCAUGCAGCACAUGCAGCUUUCGUCUUGACAACCACUGGACAACGUAGUCCGUGAACCGGUGUCCCGUAGCGACUUCGUCGUGACUGCCUCAGAGAACGUCUAGUACUGCCUUUGCUUGAUUGACGGACAUCGAGGGCGAAACAGAGCGGAGGUGCUGCAACGCGCUGCCUUGCCACGACAAGUGAUGCAAGCCAGAAAGACCAUUACGUGAAGCAAUGACGGGCGAACAUAUACGUGGAGAACGAACGAAGUGAUUGUGCGAGCAGGCCAAGCCAGAAAGUUGCAAGGAAACUAUUAGUGCCACAAAACCAGCCACCGCCGCCUCUAGCACCAUCCGGUGCCCGUGCUGCAAGUACAGUCAUAACCCCUGUGGAGGGGAUCCGACCCCAUGGAGAACGCAGGGGCUGACGAGCUGCGUUUAAGUAUGCUUUGCUGGUGCUUUUAGCUAUUUCAAAAGACACAAGAAGUGGCCCGACAUCUAUUGGCCAUAGGCUGCUCUUCCUCAUCUCAAUGAGCAUAGCUCUUGGAAUGCUGGCUCCGCCAAAAAACUAGCCAUAAAGUUCAAAGUAAAGUUUUUAAACCAUGUA